GCAGCCCUAAGAAGAUAAGACACUGCAUCUCAGUGCAAGAGGCGUCACUGCAGUACCUGGUUUGAAUCCAGGUUGCAUCACAUCUGGCCGGGAUUGGAAGUUCCAUAGUGCAGCGCACAAUUGGCCCAGCGUCGCCUGGGGUAGGCUGUCAUUUUGAAGUUGAAGUUGUUGACUGAUGCCAUGGCGGCGGCUGCUAAGAAGAAGGGAGCAUCUGCGAACCAGAAGUCUGCAGUCAAGGCAACACUGAUCCACACCUGCCUUGUGUCUCAUGCAUUCAAGCAGAAAGCAUCCCAAGUCUACAACGGUCCCAGUACUGGUUGAUGUUCAGGCCUAAGGGACCCCACACACUCAAAUGGGCCUACAACCGGGACACACCAUGAUGACCACGAUUUGAAUGAUGCAAUUGAGACGGAAUGACGUGAGGGACCCUGAGUACGACUGGACAUGGACCGGAUAUUUGUGACAACGACCUAGAAGGGGUGCAGAAACACUUUAUGUUUAAUCCAUGGCCAACCAUCUCUCAAGGUACCCCUUAUUCCACACUACGUAUUUAAUAGUCCCUCAACUUUGGACACUUUGGAACUCUCCAUCUUAGCUCUGUAAACCCUCCUUCACCCAUUUUCCAUAUGCUGCUUCCUUCACUUGUUCUUCUCCUGAUUGGAUAACAUCUAGACUCAGGAACACAUUUAAAAAUGUUGUGUUGUACUGUUCUUGCUACCUUUUUUUCACCUGUGUAACGCAGUCCUUUUAUAUUAAACCUACCUUACACAUCCAGUUGU